rnacentral:rRNA from 1 species
GAUGAACGCUGACAGAAUGCUUAACACAUGCAAGUCUACUUGAAGUAACUUCGGUUAUGGAUGGUGGCGGACGGGUGAGUAACGCGUAAAUAACUUGCCCCCUAGUCUGGGACAACUGUUGGAAACGACAGCUAAUACUAGAUAUUAUGAGACCUUGGCAUCAAGGACUUAUGAAAGCUAUAUGCGCUAGGGGAGAGAUUUGCGUCCUAUUAGCUAGUUGGUGAGGUAAUGGCUCACCAAGGCGACGAUAGGUAGCCGGCCUGAGAGGGUGAACGGCCACAAGGGGACUGAGACACGGCCCUUACUCCUACGGGAGGCAGCAGUGGGGAAUAUUGGACAAUGGACCAAAAGUCUGAUCCAGCAAUUCUGUGUGCUUGAUGAAGGCCUCGGUUGUAAG